UACGUAGGGUGCAAGCGUUAUCCGGAAUUAUUGGGCGUAAAGAGCUCGUAGGCGGUUUGUCACGUCUGCUGUGAAAACUGGAGGCUCAACCUCCAGCCUGCAGUGGGUACGGGCAGACUAGAGUGCGGUAGGGGAGAUUGGAAUUCCUGGUGUAGCGGUGAAAUGCGCAGAUAUCAGGAGGAACACCGGUGGCGAAGGCGGUUCUCUGGGCAUUACCUGACGCUGAGGAGCGAAAGCCAGGGGAGCGAACGGG
rnacentral:rRNA from 1 species